AAAUUGACACCGUAACUUCGGGAGAAGGUGUGCCGCUGGCGGUUAGUGACUUCGCGUCACGAAGCUGUUGGUGGUCGCAGUGAAAUGGCGGUUGUGACUGUUUACUAAAAACACAGGACUCUGCGAAGUCGUAAGACGACGUAUAGGGUCUGAUGCCUGCCCGGUGCUGGAAGGUUAAGGGGAUAUGUCAGCGCAAGCGAAGCAUUGAACCGAAGCCCCAGUAAGCGGCGGCCGUAACAAUAACGGUCCUAAGGUAGCGAAAUUCCUUGUCGGGUAAGUUCCGACCUGCACGAGGGCAUAACAACAUCCGCACUGUCUCGACCAGGGACUCAGCGAAAUUACAUUGGGGGUGAAGAUGCCCUCUACCCGCGGAAAGACGGAAAGACCCCAUGAACCUUUACUGCAACUUGGCAGUGAUUUUCGGGUUGUUCUGCGUAGGAUAGGUGGGAGGCUUUGAAGCCGGGCUUCCGGGUUCGGCAGAGCCAACGUUGAAAUACCACCCUGAAUAAUCUGGAAAUCUAACCUGCGCCCAUGAUCUGGGCGAGGGACACUGCCUGGUGGGCAGUUUGACUGGGGCGGUCGCCUCCUAAAUUGUAACGGAGGCGUGCGACGGUUCCCUCAGGCUGAUUGGAAACCAGCCGUAGAGUGCAAACGCAUAAGGGAGCUUUACUGCGAGACUGACAAGUCGACCAGUUGCGAAAGCAGGUGUUAGUGAUCCGGUGGUACCACAUGGAAGGGCCAUCGCUCAUCGGAUAAAAGGUACUCUGGGGAUAACAGGCUGAUCGCGCCUGAGAGUUCACAUCGGCGGCGCGGUUUGGCACCUCGAUGUCGGCUCAUCGCAUCCUGGGGCUGGAGCAGGUCCCAAGGGUUCGGCUGUUCGCCAAUUAAAGCGGUACGCGAGCUGGGUUUAAAACGUCUGAGACAGUUUGGUCCCUAUCUUCCGUGGGCGCAGGACACUUGAGAGGAGCUAUCCAUAGUACGAGAGGACCUGGAUGGACGAACCUCUGGUGCUCCGGUUGUCACGCCAGUGGCAUAGCCGGGUAGCCAUGUUCGGAACAGAUAACCGCUGAAGGCAUAUAAGCGGGAAGCUGGCCUCAAGACUAGGUGUCCCUGACGCAAGUCACUAAAGGCCCCUCGAAGACUACGAGGUUGAUAGGCUCGGUGUGGAAGCGCUGCGAGGCGCGGAGCUAACGAGUACUAAUAGGCCGUGAGGCUUGACCUC
rnacentral:rRNA from 1 species